rnacentral:rRNA from 1 species
GAUGAACGCUAGCGGCAGGCUUAACACAUGCAAGUCGAGGGGUAUAGUUCUUCGGAGCUAGAGACCGGCGCACGGGUGCGUAACGCGUAUGCAAUCUACCUUUUGCAGAGGGAUAGCCCAGAGAAAUUUGGAUUAAUACCUCAUGGUAUGUGAGAAUGGCAUCAUUUUCACAUUAAAGUCACAACGGCAAAAGAUGAGCAUGCGUCCCAUUAGCUAGUUGGUAAGGUAACGGCUUACCAAGGCAACGAUGGGUAGGGGUCCUGAGAGGGAGAUCCCCCACACUGGUACUGAGGCACGGACCAGACUCCUACGGGAGGCAGCAGUGAGGAAUAUUGGACAAUGGGCGCAAGCCUGAUCCAGCCAUGCCGCGUGCAGGAUGACGGUUCUAUGGAUUGUAAACUGCUUUUGUACAGGAAGAAACACUGGUUCGUGAACCAGCUUGACGGUACUGUAAGAAUAAGGAUCGGCUAACUCUGUGCCAGCCGCCGCAGUAAUAC